rnacentral:lncRNA from 1 species
GUUUCACCCUGAACCUCUCUCAGCAUCCAGAAAUACCCCGUCUAGGUGUUUAAACAACAUUCUUCCUCUCACACUCCUGCCCCAUUCUCAACUCAAGCUUUUCCACAUUUUCUCCUUACCCCUAAACUUCCCCUCCAAGCUUUUCUGGACUUUUUACCUCUGUACUCUGCGGGAGCUGGUACACAGCAGCAGGAAACAUAUUUAGGACAGUGGCACUGGGGCCUCUCUGGAAAAUGGAAUGAGGUUUACCCUGGUGGGAAGAGAAAAAGGGCCUUCCCUCCAAAGGGAACAAGGAACCAAGCACCACUGGGACUAUUCUUGCAUCGGUUGCCUUUGAUGGGUCCUUUCGGUGAACCUAUGGUGGUGCUUCUGGUGCAUCUCGCUGUCAUCAUGGCUGCAGGAGUCAGGGCUGGGGUUAAGAAUUUGUCUGGAAUUGGGUUUGCCAUUUUCCAGGUUGGGGGUCAGGCCUCUGGACAAAACCAGGGCUUAAAAUUUCACUGGCAAAUGGAAUUAAUGUACAAACUAACAACGUUGUGUUUAUCCAACCAUCUAUCCUGUACUUACUGAGUUGGGCCUAGCACUGCACUAAAUGGAGAGAUCACAUGGAAGAGAGGAUGCAGCCAGAAACAGCCUGAGUUUUCUGCCCAAUAAGAGAACACUGGAGAAUAGCACAUUAUUCAAAUUCAAACAGAACAAUUCCUUUUGUCAGGGCAGGAAUAGUGCAGAGGAAAUGGAGAUGGCCUGGUCAAGACAGAGGUCUCCUGAGGCAGAGGGAACUUUUUGAAGCUCCUCUUCCUUACCCAAACUGGUGAAAACAGUUUGCAAAAGGUAAUAUGAUCUUUUCUAACUUCCACAUUUCUGGACCCAGCUGAACCCUGGAAAACAAGCAUACCUAAGAAUAGAAAGAAAAGGUACAGGCAAGCAAGGACCCCCAAAGCUUGAAGUAUAAUUAGAGCUGGUGGAGAAUUAACAGGAGAGGAAAGAAGAGGGAACACGAAUGCCCCAGUGUCAUUUCUACAACUACCUGUGUGGGUGUUUGAUGAACAGUGUCAUACAGCAUCUUGGCCUUGAGUCUUCAUUUAUUCACUGGUCUCAAGUUAGAGCAGUUCUGUCCUCUAUGUUGCCAAGGCAUGUGUGAUUUUUGAGUGUUCAUGUGUGCCUGCAUGCAUGAUGUGUUGGGGUGGACAUCUGUGUGCUUGUUAAGGGAAUGAAGGGACAUCUACAGUGCAGGCAGGUAGAGUCUGAAUUGUGUGGAUGUGUAAUAUUGUGUGGAUUCAUGAUGGAAAACACCCUGAUAUUAAAACAAGAACUGGCUUGAAAGCCAGAAGUUUCUGGGACCUUUAGAAAUGUCCAACAGUUUUGUUUCUUUUGGUGCUUCUGUCCAACUGUAUUCCUGAGACAAGUCUUUAAGCAGAGAGAUGGUCUGAGAUAAGAGCUUUUCUGAGCUGCCCAGAGUCGUCCUGGUGAUUAUCAGAGCUACCCACACCAUGGCUGUGGUUAGAUUCCAUAUUUACCUCAAGUGGGAUGGUCUCAUCUAUCCAUGGGUGACCUACUUUCAGGGCAAGGCAGAAAACAAGGGCAUCAGAAGUUGGCUCUCUGAUGGUUAAUUCCUAAGGAAAGAUGCUGCCAAGGGGAGGAACCCUGUGGGCCAUCCCUCCCUGCCCUUUAUUUCUGUCCUACUCAGGAAGUUUCUUAAUACCCCCAGUGUAUGGCUUUUCAUGUCCAUUCUUGGCCUUUGUCUGUGCUAUGCCCUCCACCAGGAAUGUUCUCCUCUGUCCUUCUCUGUCUGUCCAAACCUCUGCAUCCUGCUAGGCUCACACUGCACACUCUCUCCACUUCUGCUCCUGGACUGUCUGUGUGAACCACUCCUCCAGAAUUCUAUUCUGUCUCUAAUUGUUUUCCAUCUGAGUUUUGCCUUUCCAAUUGAGGCACCUCCUCCCCCGCUACACUCCCUGACUUGGGCCGAGCUUUUAAUAAAACCUGCUUCCCUUGAAUUAACUCUGUAGCAGUGCUGUAGUGUUUACAAGAAGCCACUUCCCAUGAAUUACAUAAUUCAAGCUUCACAAUACUCUUUUGAGGAAAGCAAGAAAGAGCUUAUUGUCCCCAUGUUACAGAUAAGAAAGGUGAGUUUCAGAGAGAUUAGUGAUUUAUUCUAAAGUCAUGUAGCCUGGCUAGCAAAUCCAGCCAGCCAAUCCCAAUGCUACUCUUCUCACUAUAGCAGUAGUGAGACAGCCAGGCCUUUCCUAGAUACCACUUACCUCCUCAUCUCAACUAUUUGUUCUCCUCAUAGCUCAGGGCCGUCUAGGUAAUGCGUCUUUCCAGCUGCCUCCUAACUGUCCUGAGUAUCUGAAACCCCAUCCGCAAUGCUAAAUCCUUGGCUCGUAUCUACCCCAGCCAGAUUGGAAAGAGGUUUGGAAAUUCAAUCACUGUUGCUAAAGUUUGAUGAGGGAUUAAAACAGAAGCACUUAAAAGUUGACUUAGAAUGGGUAACAAUCCCUUAAUCUACUCCUUGUCCACCACAAUAGCAGACAUCUGAGGAGAAUGGUCCGUUGGACCUGUGUUGUUUGGUAUGGUGGCCCCUAGCCACGUGCAACCACUGAGCAUUUGAAACAAAGCUCAUCCCAAUUACAAUAUGCUUUAAGUAUAAAUAAACAUGGGAUUUCAAAGAUUUAGCAUGAAGAAAAAGAUGUAAAAUAUCUCAAUAAUUUUUAUAACAUUUUGUUAAAAUUUGGAGAUUUUACAUAUAUUAAAAGUAUAUUAAUAAAAUUAAUUUCACCUGCUGCUUUUUACUUUUUUAAUGUGGAUAUUAAUACAUUUAAAUUAUGUAUGUGGCUCACAUUACAUUUCUAUUGGAGUCUCAGUAUGGACAAUAGGGCUUUUCUAGUACUUCAAAUAACUCCACAUGCAGGUUAUUUGAAGGUAUGCUCAGAUUAUGCUUGAGGUUCCAUUAUCUGCAGCAAUAAGAAUUCAGGACAGAAUUCUUCUAGAAGAUGGUGCUUGAUUACUCCCAAAAGGAGUCACCAGCUGUCAGCUUCUUGGGCCCCCCAGGGUUGAUGGUCUGCCCACCACAGAAACA